rnacentral:lncRNA from 1 species
UUUUUUUUUUAAAUGACAUUAUGGGCCGGGUGCGGUGGCUCACACCUGUAAUCCCAGCACUUUGGGAGGCCAAGGCAGGUGGAUCACGAGGUCAGGAGUUCAAGACCAGCCUGGCCAAGAUGGUGAAACCCGGUCUCUAAUAAAAAUACAAAAAUUAGGCCGGGCGUGGUGGCUCACACCUGUAAUCCCAGCACUUUGGGAGGCCGAGGCGGGCGGAUCACAAGGUCAGGAGAUCGAGACCAUCCUGUGAAUGGUGAAACCCUCUCUGUACUAAAAAUACAAGAACUUAGCCGGGCAUGGUGGCAGUCGCCUGUAGUCCCAGCUACUUGGGAGGCUGAGGCGGGAGAAUGGCGUGAACCCAGGAGGUGGAGCUUGCACUGAGCCGAGAUUGCGCCACUGCACUCCAGCCUGGGCGACAGAGUGAGACUCCGUCUCAAAAAAAAAAAACAACGAAAAAACAAAAAUUAGCUUGGCGUGGUGGUGGGUGCCUGUAAUCCCAGCUACUCGAGAGGCUGAGGCAGGGAAUUGCUUGAACCC